rnacentral:lncRNA from 1 species
AAGAUCUUUGUAGUAUCUACAUCACUAAUCAAUCUAAGUAUGAAACUCAAUUAGACCAAAUUGACUAGGUAAGUUGGUGGGAGGCUCCUUGUAGCUUUUCUUAGACAUCAACAUCGUUGGCCAGGCUAGCAUACAGAUCUAAUUAGAAAACCACCUAUAACACUUACCAAGACACCAAUUGAUCAAAUAAAUUCGACAAUCGAUUUGUAAGUGAAUCCCAACAUUACAACUUAAUUUAAUUUUUAUAGAGGAUCU